CCCAGAGUGGUGUACUGGAAGCACGCCAAGGUGACAGUUAAGCCCCUCUUCACUGAGAGCUUAAUCCCUUCGGGGGCGGAGGAGAUCCAGGUUCGAUCCCUGGCUCUGGGA